AGCCAUCCAGCGAUCAUGAAACAUAAACAAAACAAAACAAAAAUUGGAAAGGAAAGAAGAAGGGAAAAAAGACAGAGGACACUUUCUUUUACCUUUUUGU
rnacentral:ribozyme from 1 species